AUUGAACGCUGGCGGCAGGCCUAACACAUGCAAGUCGAACGAGUGGCGGACGGGUGAGUAAUGUCUGGGAAACUGCCCGAUGGAGGGGGAUAACUACUGGAAACGGUAGCUAAUACCGCAUACCAUCGGAUGUGCCCAGAUGGGAUUAGCUAGUAGGUGGGGUAACGGCUCACCUAAGCGACGAUCCCUAGCUGGUCUGAGAGGAUGACCAGCAAACCGUGAACAUAGGCACGGGCCAACCUCCUACGCGAGGAAGGAGUGGGGAAUAUUGCACAAUGGGCGAAAGCCUGAUGCAGCCAUGCCGCGUGUAUGAAGAAGGCCUUCGGGUUGUAAAGUACUUUCAGCGGGGAGGCGUUACCCGCAGAAGAAGCACCGGCUAACUCCGUGCCAGCAGCCGCGGUAAUUC
rnacentral:rRNA from 1 species